rnacentral:rRNA from 1 species
AUUGAACGCUGGCGGCAGGCUUAACACAUGCAAGUCGAGCGGGGUGAUGGUGCUUGCACUAUCACUUAGCGGCGGACGGGUGAGUAAUGCUUAGGAAUCUGCCUAUUAGUGGGGGACAACAUCUCGAAAGGGAUGCUAAUACCGCAUACGUCCUACGGGAGAAAGCAGGGGAUCACUUGUGACCUUGCGCUAAUAGAUGAGCCUAAGUCGGAUCAGCUAGUUGGUGGGGUAAAGGCCUACCAAGGCGACGAUCUGUAGCGGGUCUGAGAGGAUGAUCCGCCACGCUGGACUGAGACACGGCCCAGACUCCUACGGGAGGCAGCAGUGGGGAAUAUUGGACAAUGGGGGGAACCCUGAUCCAGCCAUGCCGCGUGUGUGAAGAAGGCCUUAUGGUUGUAAAGCACUUUAAGCGAGGAGGAGGCUCUUUUGGUUAAUACCCAAGAUGAGUGGACGUUACUCGCAGAAUAAGCACCGGCUAACUCUGUGCCAGCCGCCGCAGUAA